rnacentral:rRNA from 1 species
GAUGAACGCUAGCGGCAGGCCUAACACAUGCAAGUCGAGGGGCAGCACAUAAAGUGGUUUACUACCUUUGGUGGCGACCGGCGGACGGGUGCGUAACGCGUAUGCAACCUGCCUCCAACAGGGGGAUAACGGAGAGAAAUUUCCACUAAUACCCCAUAAUAUCAGAAUCGGCAUCGGUUUUGGUUGAAAACUACGGUGGUUGGAGAUGGGCAUGCGUUGUAUUAGAUAGUUGGUGAGGUAACGGCACACCAAGUCAACGAUACAUAGGGGGACUGAGAGGUUAGCCCCCCACACUGGUACUGAGACACGGACCAGACUCCUACGGGAGGCAGCAGUGAGGAAUAUUGGUCAAUGGGGGCAACCCUGAACCAGCCAUGCCGCGUGCAGGAAGACGGCUCUAUGAGUUGUAAACUGCUUUUACAAGGGGAUAAAUCGGUGUACGUGUACACCGUUGAAGGUACCUUGGGAAUAAGGAUCGGCUAACUCCGUGCCAGCAGCCGCCGUAA